rnacentral:rRNA from 1 species
AUGAAGCAGCCGAGGUCGCGGCAGGAGCCGCGCCGGAUGGGCAACUCCGCCAUGGUCGUCACCAUGCUGCUCUCCCUCUGCGUCCUCACCUUCAUCAAGGCCCGCUACUGCUCCACCCCGUACCCCAACAAGCCGGCGCCGCUGCUGGACCUGGAGGUGGAGAUCGACGAGGACUACGACAGCAGCCGGUACAAGAUCUCCGGCCCCAUCGGGGAGGAGGAGUUCGACCCCAGCCGCCCCACCUGCUACAACACCAGCAAGCGCUCCGAGCGGUGCGCCGCCGUGGGCGACGUCCGGGUCGACGGCAACCACUCCAAAAUCUACAUCAGCCCGCUGGGCAAGGAGUGGCGGACCAAGCCGUACGCGCGCCGCCACGACGCCGUCGCCAUGGACGACGUCCGCGAGUUCGCGCUCCUCCCCUUCGGCGGCGCCAACGACACCGCCGUGCCGCCGCUCUGCACCAGGAACCACUCCGUCCCGGCCUUCCUCUUCUCCAGCGGCGGGUUCGCGGGCAACCUGUACCACGACUACACCGACGUGCUGGUGCCGCUCUUCACCAGCACCCACCACUUCGGCGGCGAGGUGCUGUUCCUGCUCACGGACAUCAAGGACUGGUGGCUGGACAAGUUCACGCCGCUCUUCCGCCAGCUCUCCAACUACGACGUCAUCGACGUGGACAACGACCAGGAGGUGCACUGCUUCUCGCGCAUCGUCAUCGGCUCCACCUUCCACCGGCCCAUGGGCAUCGACGGCACCCGGUCCCCGGGCGGCGAGACCGUGGCCGACUUCAAGCGCCUGCUCCGGCGCGCCUUCCGGCUGGACCGCGUGGUGGCGUCCCACGACGGGGCCGCCAGCCUCGGCAAGCCGCGGCUCCUCAUCAUCUCCCGCAAGUCGUCGCGGCGGUUCCUGAACGAGCGCGCCAUGGCGCACGCGGCGGCGGCGGCGCAGUUCGACGUGCGCAUCGCGGAGCCGGACAACCACACGGACAUGCCCAACUUCGCGCGGCUGGUGAACUCGGCGGACGUGAUGAUGGGGGUGCACGGCGCCGGGCUGACCAACAUGGUGUUCCUGCCGAGCCGCGCCGUGCUGCUGCAGGUGGUGCCGUUCGGCGGGCUGGAGUGGCUGUCCCGGGUGACCUUCAAGGACCCGGCCAAGGACUUCGACGUGACCUACAUGGAGUACAACGUGUCGCUGGAGGAGAGCUCGCUCAAGGACCUCUACCCCAAGGACCAUUUCUACCUGAAGCACCCCUACGACGUGCACAAGAAGGGCUGGAACGCCAUCAAGACCACCUACCUCGACAAGCAGAGCGUCAGGCUCGACCUCGACAAGCUCACGCGCACGCUCCAGCACGCGCGCAGCCUCCUGCCCUCCCCCUCCCCCUCCUCGCACUGA